rnacentral:rRNA from 1 species
CACUGGGGAAUAUUGGACAAUGGCGCAAGCCUGAUCCAGCCAUGCCGCGUGAGUGAUGAAGGCCUUAGGGUUGUAAAGCUCUUUUGUCCGGGACGAUAAUGACGGUACCGGAAGAAUAAGCCCCGGCUAACUUCGUGCCAGCAGCCGCGGUAAUACGAAGGGGGCUAGCGUUGCUCGGAAUCACUGGGCGUAAAGGGCGCGUAGGCGGCCAUUUAAGUCGGGGGUGAAAGCCUGUGGCUCAACCACAGAAUUGCCUUCGAUACUGGAUGGCUUGAGUUCGGUAGAGGUUGGUGGAACUGCGAGUGUAGAGGUGAAAUUCGUAGAUAUUCGCAAGAACACCGGUGGCGAAGGCGGCCAACUGGACCGACACUGACGCUGA